GACGAACGCUGGCGGCGUGCCUAACACAUGCAAGUUGAGCGACGAACCAGGGCUUGCCCUGGGGCAAAGCAGCGAACGGGUGAGUAACACGUGGGUAACCUACCCCGAUAACCGGGACAACCCGAGGAAACUCGGGCUAAUACCGGAUGUGCUCACUGGACUUCGGUUCAGUGCGUAAAGGAAGCUUCGGCCUCCGUAUCGGGAGGGGCCCGCGGCCCAUUAGUUUGUUGGUGAGGUAACGGCUCACCAAGACCGCGAUGGGUAGCUGGUCUGAGAGGACGACCAGCCACACUGGAACUGAGACACGGUCCAGACUCCUACGGGAGGCAGCAGUGGGGAAUUUUGGACAAUGGGCGAAAGCCUGAUCCAGCCAUUCCGCGUGCAGGAUGAAGGCCCUCGGGUUGUAAACUGCUUUUGUACAGAACGAAAAGGUUUCUACUAAUACUAGGAGCUCAUGACGGUACUGUAAGAAUAAGCACGGGCUAACUACGUGCCAGCCGCCGCGGUAA
rnacentral:rRNA from 1 species